ACCUAGUGGCUCUUGAUAUUUUCUUCGCGUCCUCUAACCUCCUUCACACGUUUCAUUCUCUCUCCCUCUCUUUCUCUCUCUGCGUGCGUACGGUCACACACACACACACACACACUAUUCGUAGAUUGAAUCCUCCGAAGCAGAUCUCACAUUCAACCUUCAAUGCUUCGUUCUCUUUCCCUCUCCGAUUCAUCCACGGAUUCCAAUUCUCAGUUUCUUUGUUUCUCUCGUCGAAAUUCGUUUCCGAACACCGCAUUCACGCGCCAACCUUGUUCGCUUCGCUUCUCUCGCAGCUUCGUGGAUUCCGCUUUCAUGGAACGAGUUGCUGCGGUUUCUGUCCCGUUCUACAACGGCGAGAAUUUUCCUUCUUCUGAAUUCGUUUGGUUUCCGAAAAAAUUAACCGCGAGAAAAAGAGAGGUUAGAGGGUAGAGAUGUUCUUUAAUCUAUAUGGAGCAAUAAUCACUUUCGAUGGAGACGUGCGUUUCAGCGUUUGGAUCUCAGGGUGCUUGUGGAGGGAAUCAAACCAAACCUUUCUAGUGAAGUGCUUCAAUCCAUACAACCCAUGUUGGUAGUUCAUUCUACAAGCUGCACUUUGCACCCGUGUCUUUGAUUGUAUAGUUCCAUCCGAGAAGAAAGGUAGAAGUGGAAGUCAUUAAAAUAUCUAUUUCUUUCAGAGUGCUUAACUGGCAUCAUAAUUUGUUAAUUAUGUUAUGCUUUGGCCAAUGUGAAUGUUUGUAAAGAAGAGUGGUAAACAUUUUACUUUUUUGGUGUAUAUGACCAUGCCAACGAAGAACUGAGAUGUCCUGCUAAGUUCCUGCUUUUAUCUUAUUAAACACAGUGGGUGCUAGAUUCUCAAUUUUUCAGGUAGGUUUUCGUAGAUUUUAGAACAAUCUGUUGCAUUCUACCCUUCAAAGAGUUUGUCAUGGUUUACUGAAUCCUGAACUUCAGAAAAGAAUGGCUGGGAGGAAGUGCUCCAAAUUGAUUUGCUUAUUUUUCG